UCUUGGGGUCCGAGUUGUAAUUUGUAGAGGAUGUUUCGGGUACCGCCUCGGUUUAAAUUUCUUGGAACAGAAUGUCAAAGAGGGUGAGAAUCCCGUCUUGGACCGGCGGUAGGGCCUAUGUGAAACUCCUUCGACGAGUCGAGUUGUUUGGGAAUGCAGCUCAAAAUGGGUGGUAAAUUUCAUCUAAAGCUAAAUAUUGGCCAGAGACCGAUAGCGCACAAGUAGAGUGAUCGAAAGAUGAAAAGCACUUUGAAAAGAGAGUUAAACAGUAUGUGAAAUUGUUGAAAGGGAAGCGCUUGCAACCAGACUUGAGCGCGGCGGUUCCCCCUUGCUUCUGCUUGGGUUACUCCGCCGUGUCCAGGCCAACAUCGGUUCUGGGGGUCGGUCAAAGGCUCUGGGAAUGUAUCUACCCACGGGUAGACUUAUAGACCAGGGUGUCAUGCGACCUCCCGGGACCGAGGAACGCGCUUCGGCUCGGAUGUUGGCGUAAUGGUUGUCAGCGACCCGUCUUGAAACACGGACCAAGGAGUCUAACAUCUAUGCGAGUGUUUGGGUGUCAAACCCGGAACGCGGAAUGAAAGUGAACGGAGGUAGGAAGCUUCGGCUGCACUAUCGACCGAUCCUGAAGUUUACGGAUGGAUUUGAGUAAGAGCAUAGCUGUUGGGACCCGAAAGAUGGUGAACUAUGCCUGAAUAGGGUGAAGCCAGAGG
rnacentral:rRNA from 1 species